rnacentral:snRNA from 1 species
CGGCCUGUGGGCUCCCCAUUC